CAGUUGGGAGAGCCGCAGAGCGGUUCGCCGGACAAUGUCCGCCUGGCUG
rnacentral:ncRNA from 1 species